rnacentral:ncRNA from 1 species
GUCGCUAUGUACAUAGCUAUAGCUUCCAGUCCGGGACGUUUGUCUGGCGUAUCCAGACUCAUGCACCAUGUUGAUACAUGCACCACUUGUGGGUGUUCAGGGUGUCGUGGUUGUAAUCCCUUCAGUGUGGAACACGCCACGUAAAACAAGUUCGGAGAGGUCCGAAAGUCACUGUCACUGUCCCUAUCUACUAUCUAGCGAAACCACAGCCAAGGGAACGGGCUUGGAAUAAUUAGCGGGGAAAGAAGACCCUUUUGAGCUUGACUCUAAUCUGGCAGUGUAAGGAGACAUAAGAGGUGUAGAAUAAGUGGGAGAUAUUAGACCUCGGUUUGGUAUCGUCAAUGAAAUACCACUACUCUUAUUGUUUCCUUACUUACUUGAUUAAAUGGAACGUGUAUCAUUUCCUAGCCAUUAUACGGAUAUAUUUAUUAUAUCUUAUGGUAUUGGGUUUUGAUGCAAGCUUCUUGAUCAAAGUAUCACGAGUUUGUUAUAUAAUCGCAAACAAAUUCUUUAAUAAAACGAUGCAUUUAUGUAUUUUUGAUUUGAAAAUUUGGUAUAACUCCAAUUACUCAGGUAUGAUCCAAUUCAAGGACAUUGCCAGGUAGGGAGUUUGACUGGGGCGGUACAUCUCUCAAAUAAUAACGGAGGUGUCCCAAGGCCAGCUCAGUGCGGACAGAAACCACACAUAGAGCAAAAGGGCAAAUGCUGACUUGAUCUCGGUGUUCAGUACACACAGGGACAGCAAAAGCUCGGCCUAUCGAUCCUUUUGGUUUAAAGAGUUUUUAACAAGAGGUGUCAGAAAAGUUACCAUAGGGAUAACUGGGCUUGUGGCGGCCAAGCGUUCAUAGCGACGUCGCUUUUUGAUCCUUCGAUGUCGGCUCUUCCUAUCAUUGUGAAGCAAAAUUCACCAAGCGUUGGAUUGUUCACCCAUGCAAGGGAACGUGAGCUGGGUUUAGACCGUCGUGAGACAGGUUAGUUUUACCCUACUAAUGACAAAACGUUGUUGCGACAGCAUUCCUGCGUAGUACGAGAGGAACCGCAGGUACGGACCAAUGGCACAAUACUUGUUCGAGCGAACAGUGGUAUGACGCUACGUCCGUUGGAUUAUGCCUGAACGCCUCUAAGGUCGUAUCCGUGCUGGACUGCAAUGAUAAAUAAGGGGCAAUUUGCAUUGUAUGGCUUCUAAACCAUUUAAAGUUUAUAAUUUAUUUUAUAAACGACAAUGGAUGUGAUGCCAAUGUAAUUUGUAACAUAGUAAAUUAGGAGGAUCUUCGAUCACCUGAUGCCGCGCUAGUUACAUAUAAAAGCAUUAUUUAAUACAAUGACAAAGCCUAGAAUCAAUUGUAAACGACUUUUGUAACAGGCAAGGUGUUGUAAGUGGUUGAGCAGCUGCCAUACUGCGAUCCACUGAAGCUUAUCCUUUGCUUGAUGAUUCGA